GGUCAAGCAUUAAGAGCGCAGGGUGGAUGCUUGGCACUGAGAGCCGAUGAAGGACGUGAUAAGCUGCGAAAAGCUUCGGGGAGGAGCAAAUAUCCAUUGAUCCGGAGAUAUCCGAAUGGGGAAACCCACUUGAGCAAACCUCAAGUAUCCAUACGCCAAUCCAUAACGUAUGGAAGGGAACCGGGGGAACUGAAACAUCUAAGUACCCCGAGGAGAAGAAAGAAACCUCGAUUUCCAAAGUAGCGGCGAGCGAAAUGGAAAGAGCCCAAACCGUGGUGCGUGCACCGCGGGGUUGUGGACUGCAUAAGGUACUCGAAUCAAUAGCCGAACAGUUUUGGGAAAUCUGAUCAGAGAGGGUGAAAAUCCCGUAGGCGAAAUUGAUGAGAGGCUGGCAGGAUCCAGAGUACCACGAGACACGGGAAACCUUGUGGGAAGCAGGAGGGACCACCCUCCAAGGCUAAAUACUCCUCAGUGACCGAUAGCGCAUAGUACUGUGAAGGAAAGGUGAAAAGGACCCCGGGAGGGGAGUGAAAGAGAACCUGAAACCCUGUGUUUACAAGCUGUGGAAGUGCCUUAUGUGCACAACCGCGUACUUUUUGUAGAACGGUCCGGCGAGUUACGUUUACUGGCAAGGUUAAG
rnacentral:rRNA from 2 species